CAGUCGCCGCGGGAAUACGUAGGUGGCAAGCGUUGUCCGGAAUUGUUGGGCGUAGAGCGCGCGCAGGCGGCCUAUCCAGUCUGUCUUAAAAGUUCGGGGCUCAACCCCGUGAUGGGAUGGAAGCUAGUAGGCUAGAGUAUCGGAGAGGAAAGCGGAAUUCCUAGUGUAGCGGUGAAAUGCGUAGAUAUUAGGAAGAACACCAGUGGCGAAGGCGGCUUUCUGGACGAAAACUGACGCUGAGGCGCGAAAGCCAGGGGAGCGAACGGGAUUAGAUACCCGAGUAGUCCCUGUCUCUUAUACA
rnacentral:rRNA from 1 species